rnacentral:misc_RNA from 1 species
GUGAAUCAUCAAAUUUUUGAACGCAAAUUGCACCUUCUUCGGAGAGUAUGCCUGUUUGAGGGUCAGCCUAAAAAAAAUCGACAUUGCUGCUGUUUCGCGGUGGCGUUCGUCGGAAAUUGGGUUAUCUUACAUCUUUGGUUUAAGCGACUUAAAAUCUUCUUUACGUUUCCAUGACCGUUUCCAAGAUUCUUUUUUUUACACGUUUAAGGUAUCGAUUUUAUUAGGCGUGGCUGUCAUAUCGGAUUAUGUCCAUAACUUUUCGUUAACUGCCCUCA